rnacentral:rRNA from 1 species
GUGAACGCUGGCGGCGUGCCUAAUACAUGCAAGUCGAGCGAACAGACGAGGAGCUUGCUCCUCUGACGUUAGCGGCGGACGGGUGAGUAACACGUGGAUAACCUACCUAUAAGACUGGGAUAACUUCGGGAAACCGGAGCUAAUACCGGAUAAUAUAUUGAACCGCAUGGUUCAAUAGUGAAAGACGGUUUUGCUGUCACUUAUAGAUGGAUCCGCGCCGCAUUAGCUAGUUGGUAAGGUAACGGCUUACCAAGGCGACGAUGCGUAGCCGACCUGAGAGGGUGAUCGGCCACACUGGAACUGAGACACGGUCCAGACUCCUACGGGAGGCAGCAGUAGGGAAUCUUCCGCAAUGGGCGAAAGCCUGACGGAGCAACGCCGCGUGAGUGAUGAAGGUCUUCGGAUCGUAAAACUCUGUUAUUAGGGAAGAACAAAUGUGUAAGUAACUAUGCACGUCUUGACGGUACCUAAUCAGAAAGCCACGGCUAACUACGUG